GACAGAGGAUGCAAGCGUUAUCCGGAAUGAUUGGGCGUAAAGCGUCUGUAGGUGGCUUUUCAAGUCCGCCGUCAAAUCCCAGGGCUCAACCCUGGACAGGCGGUGGAAACUGCCAAGCUGGAGUACGGUAGGGGCAGAGGGAAUUUCCGGUGGAGCGGUGAAAUGCGCAGAUAUCAGGAGGAACACCGGUGGCGAAGGCGGAUCUCUGGGCCUUACCUGACGCUGAGGCGCGAAAGCUAGGGGAGCAAACAGG
rnacentral:rRNA from 1 species